AAAUUGAAGAGUUUGAUCAUGGCUCAGAUUGAACGCUGGCGGCAGGCCUAACACAUGCAAGUCGAACGGUAACAGGAAGAAGCUUGCUUCUUUGCUGACGAGUGGCGGACGGGUGAGUAAUGUCUGGGAAACUACCUGAUGGAGGGGGAUAACUACUGGAAACGGUAGCUAAUACCGCAUAACGUCGCAAGACCAAAGAGGGGGACCUUCGGGCCUCUUGCCAUCGGAUGUGCCCAGAUGGGAUUAGCUAGUAGGUGGGGUAACGGCUCACCUAGGCGACGAUCCCUAGCUGGUCUGAGAGGAUGACCAGCCACACUGGAACUGAGACACGGUCCAGACUCCUACGGGAGGCAGCAGUGGGGAAUAUUGCACAAUGGGCGCAAGCCUGAUGCAGCCAUGCCGCGUGUAUGAAGAAGGCCUUCGGGUUGUAAAGUACUUUCAGCGGGGAGGAAGGGAGUAAAGUUAAUACCUUUGCUCAUUGACGUUACCCGCAGAAGAAGCACCGGCUAACUCCGUGCCAGCAGCCGCGGUAAUACGGAGGGUGCAAGCGUUAAUCGGAAUUACUGGGCGUAAAGCGCACGCAGGCGGUUUGUUAAGUCAGAUGUGAAAUCCCCGGGCUCAACCUGGGAACUGCAUCUGAUACUGGCAAGCUUGAGUCUCGUAGAGGGGGGUAGAAUUCCAGGUGUAGCGGUGAAAUGCGUAGAGAUCUGGAGGAAUACCGGUGGCGAAGGCGGCCCCCUGGACGAAGACUGACGCUCAGGUGCGAAAGCGUGGGGAGCAAACAGGAUUAGAUACCCUGGUAGUCCACGCCGUAAACGAUGUCGACUUGGAGGUUGUGCCCUUGAGGCGUGGCUUCCGGAGCUAACGCGUUAAGUCGACCGCCUGGGGAGUACGGCCGCAAGGUUAAAACUCAAAUGAAUUGACGGGGGCCCGCACAAGCGGUGGAGCAUGUGGUUUAAUUCGAUGCAACGCGAAGAACCUUACCUGGUCUUGACAUCCACGGAAGUUUUCAGAGAUGAGAAUGUGCCUUCGGGAACCGUGAGACAGGUGCUGCAUGGCUGUCGUCAGCUCGUGUUGUGAAAUGUUGGGUUAAGUCCCGCAACGAGCGCAACCCUUAUCCUUUGUUGCCAGCGGUCCGGCCGGGAACUCAAAGGAGACUGCCAGUGAUAAACUGGAGGAAGGUGGGGAUGACGUCAAGUCAUCAUGGCCCUUACGACCAGGGCUACACACGUGCUACAAUGGCGCAUACAAAGAGAAGCGACCUCGCGAGAGCAAGCGGACCUCAUAAAGUGCGUCGUAGUCCGGAUUGGAGUCUGCAACUCGACUCCAUGAAGUCGGAAUCGCUAGUAAUCGUGGAUCAGAAUGCCACGGUGAAUACGUUCCCGGGCCUUGUACACACCGCCCGUCACACCAUGGGAGUGGGUUGCAAAAGAAGUAGGUAGCUUAACCUUCGGGAGGGCGCUUACCACUUUGUGAUUCAUGACUGGGGUGAAGUCGUAACAAGGUAACCGUAGGGGAACCUGCGGUUGGAUCACCUCCUUACCUUAAAGAAGC
rnacentral:rRNA from 1 species